rnacentral:rRNA from 1 species
UACGUAGGGGGCAAGCGUUUGUCCGGAUUUAUUGGGCGUAAAGAGCGUGUAGGCGGUUUGGUAGGUCCGCUGUGAAAACUCGAGGCUCAACCUCGAGACGCCGGUGGAAACCAUCAGACUAGAGUCCGGAAGAGGAGAGUGGAAUUCCUGGUGUAGCGGUGAAAUGCGCAGAUAUCAGGAGGAACACCGGUGGCGAAGGCGGUUCUCUGGGCCUUACCUGACGCUGGAGGAGCGAAAGCGUGGGGGAGCAAACAGG